CAUGAAGAUGUGGAGUAUGGAGAAACUCCCUAACGAAGAUGGAACCUUCCAGAAAAACGCCCACCAGUGCUCAAGUGGAAAAGCAACUAUCAAUGUGUAGUUCAGUUCACAAUAUACAGGCUCAAAUCGGCAGCACAGCAGGCCCAUUCAGAGUGAUGAAUGAAACCAGCUCCUGUGUUUGGAAAGCAGGGGUGUUUUCUAUGGAUACUGGAGGACUGUAAUGCAACUUGAAAGCGGCUAAUAUUGUGUGGAGAAAGAUGGACUGUGGGACUGCUGUAGCUGCAACUUACAGACCUCAGUUUGGAGGGAAGUGGAGGAUAGCAACAAGCAUGUAUUGAUUGCUAUGGUCAGGAUUCUACUCUUGAGAAGUGUACGUUAGUCUCACACGGAGAUGGUGUCUGAGCAUAAGCGUAAUUAUGCUAAUGUAAUCUGUUCAGAUUUUUUCAAGUUUGUGGAUGAAGCUGGUUUCUGCUCUGGAAGAGUGGAGCUGAAGUCCAAUCAGUCCUGGACGUCAGCGUGUGAAGCUGACUUUGACAGGCAGGAUGCAGAGAGUCUGAUGAUGUGAGGCUGGUGGGAGGAGGCAGUCGCUGCGUUGGUAGAGUGGAGUGGUACCAACAGGGAAAGAGGAAUAUGUAGCCUGUAAAAUAUGGCUGGAAAUUGAAGGAUGUCACUGAUUUUUUUGGUGUAGACAGCUGGACUGUGGCUCCACUGUUUCAAGACUACUUGGAAAACACACUGAAGGGUUUGAAGUGUACUGUAAUGGACCUGUGUUAUGGCUGGGUGCUGCUGGUGGAGAAGACAGGUGCAGGAGAGCAGAGAGUUCUGAACAGCACAUUUUAUUUGGCAGAAGAGAAUAACAGUAGGACGCAACUGCAUCAAAAAACCUCCAACCAAAAUAGGCAAAAGUGUAAAUGCUCCAAAAUAGACACAACUAUAUAAAGUUAACAAAGUAACAAUCUUCGUGUAAAGAAUAAACACGGAACAAACCAGCGUAACACAAAACAAUCCUACACAAAGACAUGAUGGGGAACAGAGGAAUAAAUACAUAUGAUGAUUGGGGAAUGAAAACCAGGUGUGCAGGGAACAAGACAAAACAAAUGGAUACAUGAAAAAUGG
ensembl:lncRNA